rnacentral:lncRNA from 1 species
UCUCUGUGCAUUUUCCCCUCAGCUUUUUCAGAAGGUCAAAGCAAUUAAGCUAACUAUCCCUAUUUCUUAUUACUAUUAAAUUUCCACCCACUUCCCCGCUGUCUGCAGGGAUUGAAAGUGCAGGAACUCAAACACCGCAGGAAGGCUCUUUUCCAAUGCAAUGUUUGCUGCACUCCCCAAAGCGCUGGAAAUCUACACCAAGAGACGGGUUUCUUUUUUUUUUUAAUCACACGGUUACUGUGGUGAUACCUCAAGCGCAACUCUGCCUUCACUAGUGGCAGCAUGUACCAGUAUAGCACCUACAUCCUCUGAGGAGUCAAAAAUGACACCAGUGAAGAGGAGCCCAAACUAGACUUACCCAGUAGGACUGUGCAGCUUGCACUGUGCCAUGACAUCCAACAGUGCCUGGACCCGAGGCAAGAUCCUCAGCUGGGAUAAAUCAGCUCCACUUCCCUGUGGCCAAGGGAGGUAGGAAGAUGCACAGUGGUUCUGGACACAACCUGCCUUGUUUGGAGACUGGACCUCUUUUCCCUGGUCAUGGACUUUAAGGACAGGACUCACCAAGGACCCUCAAGCCAAUGUUCUUUUUCCAUGGACCACAGGACUCACUGAGAUCAGUUCAAGCUUCAGAUCCAAAGACAAUGGUUGGAAUAAAACAGAUUUUUCUGGAAAAACUUCCAGUAUAAACAUUUUUUUUAUCCAUUGUGAGUUGUUCUG